GUGAGGAAUAUUGGGCAAUGGGCGGAAGCCUGACCCAGCAACGCCGCGUGAAGGAUGAAGGCCUUCGGGUCGUAAACUUCUUUUAUGGGGGAAGAGUGAGGACGGUACCCUAGGAAUAAGUCACGGCUAACUACGUGCCAGCAGCCGCGGUAAUACGUAGGUGACGAGCGUUAUCCGGAAUUACUGGGCGUAAAGCGCACGCAGGCGGCUAGGUAAGUCUGACGUAAAAUCUCCUGGCUUAACUGGGAGGGGUCGUUGGAGACUGCCUGACUUGAGGCAACGAGAGGGGUGUAGAAUUCCCGGUGUAGUGGUGGAAUGCGUAGAUAUCGGGAGGAAUACCAGAGGCGAAAGCGGCGCCCUGGCGUUAGCCUGACGCUCAUGUGCGAAGGCGUGGGGAGCGAACGGGAUUAGAAACCCCAGUAGUCC
rnacentral:rRNA from 1 species